UAUCCUCUAUUCAGCUGAGGCUCUUAUCCUAUUUACGUAUAUUCAUAUGAAUUCUGCUAAUAUAGAAAACAACAAUGAAAAAUGUAAGGCUCAAAUUCCUGUUUAGUGCCUAAACUUUCCUUCAAAUCACAACAAUCAGCAUAAUCUCUAGUCUUGGUUUUGAAGGGUAAAGAAAAAAAAAUCAAACCAAAACCGUUAUCCGUCUCCCGCUUGGCUAUCACUAUCCCUCUGGAUAAACCCACAAAACAUUUCUUGUUUUCUUUUUUCAUUUUUCUAGCAUUACAGUUGUGGAUCAGGUUUCUACAAUUUUUCUCAUUCUUGGUCUAGUUUCUUUGGCCAUUAUCACUGCCAUUUAAUCUUUGAAAUUUGGGUUGCAAUUACAAAUAUGAUUUCUAGGCUUGUGGGGUUUGCGUGAUUGACUGAUUUAAUGUCUAACUUUGCGUGCUUAGUGAGCUUGUUCCAGCAAGAUUGUGUCUUUACUGCUUCAUGAGGCUUAAAAUGUGGAAGGCGUUUCAUGUUCUUGAUGAGCACUUCACUUGUCUUAUGUCAAAAUCUAGUCUUGUCUAAUUAUAGUUGUGUCUCGGAUAAUUCUUUCCCCUGUGGCAAUGCUUCGAUUUCUGGGGUGCAAUUGAGUUGUGGGAGGAGAAAACAUAGUGGGCUGGUGCCGAAUGCAAAGAAAAAGCAUUCAAAGAAGAGGAGUUGGUGGCAGAGGUUCUUCUUUGAUGAGGAUGGGAAUUGGCUUGGUUUGAAGGAUGAUGCUGCAUUCGAAGUGCUAGAGGAGGAGGAGGAGGAGGUGAGUGAUAUGGGGUUAUCCGCGAAUGAGAAGUUUGAGGCGUGGAGAAGGCGAGCAGAGGCUAUUGUGGAAUUGAGGGAAGCACAGGAGGAUGUGAAGAAUGAGGAGAAUCGGAGGUGGGAGGACUGGAUUGUUGAUGGGACGUAUGAUGGUGAUGAUGUUAGUAAUGGUGGUUCAUGGGUUCAAGACUCUAAUGGGGCGGUUGGGAAACCGGGAGAUGAUGUUGAGGAUGAUUUUAGGGAGGUGUUUUCUGGUAGAGGGUUGGCUAAGUCUGUGAGGGAUUUAGUUUUAGGCAGAGAGGAUGAUGAUAUUCUGUAUGAAGAUCGAGUUUUCCGCUAUGCCUCAUUCAAUUCGGCUAAAUUUUUGGCAGUCCUGGUCAUUGUUCCAUGGGCUGUGGAUUUCUUGGUUCAUGACUACGUUCUUAUGCCUUUUCUGGACAGAUAUGUAGAAAAAGUACCACUCGCGGCACAAUUGCUUGAUGUUAGGAGGAAUCAAAAGCUUGAAAUGGUCAAGUCUCUAAAACUUGAGAAAGCACGAUAUCGGCUUGAAGUAGAGAUUGGUAAAUCUCCCCCUCUUUCUGAUAAGGACCUUUACUUGGAGUUACGACAAAAAGCGUUAGAGCUGCGAGAUGAAUGGAGAUUGGAGAACCGUAAAGCAUUUGCUAACAUUUGGUCAGAUAUGUUGUUUGGGAUCUCAGUAUUCCUUCUUCUCUACUUCAAUCAGAAUCAAGUAGCCUUGCUGAAAUUUACUGGUUAUAAGUUACUGAAUAAUAUAUCAGACACCGGAAAGGCGUUUCUUAUUAUACUUAUCACUGAUAUUUUUUUGGGAUAUCACUCUGAAUCGGGCUGGCAAACACUGUUGGAGGUCAUGGUAGAGCAUUUUGGACUUGAGAUCGAUUCGAAUUCCAUAACAAUCUUCGUAUGCCUGAUCCCAGUCAUCCUUGAUGCUUGUGUGAAGCUGUGGAUGUUCAAGUUUCUGCCUAGAUUAUCCCCAAAGGUGGCCAAUAUUUUCCAGGAGAUGAAGAGACAUUAGGAGGAUUUCGCUACAUACACACUGGUUCUCUCUCGGCUUGGGCUCUCGUAUUCUUUUCAUAUACGAACAUUUUUUCAUUCGUGUGGCUUGCUUCCUUAGUUUGCUACACAUUCUGUUGUACUAGGCUAGAACAUUUAUGUCCAUAAUUAAACACUCAUAACACUAGGAAAGAUUCCUAGACUAGUUGAAACAAUAAUUACGCAGCGCUGCGUAAAAAUCGGUCACUUUACUUAUCCCCGUCCCCUCGUCUCUCAUUGAUGUCAAUAUUUACUUCAACGAACUCUCGUACUAGCUCUAGCUAGCUGGAGACAGGUGACCACUAGCUGUAACGAGUUCUGGAGCCUCGAGGAUUUUCCAGAUGUCCGUUUCUGGCUUGUCGUGUGUCAGGGUUUAUUGAUCCUGUUGUGCUACCUGCCAUGAGUUGUAGGACCUUGUAGCAUUGAAGGUGGUGAUGCCAGUGGAAACACAUGCUCUGUUGGUUUGAAGUCCAGAAUGCACAUUUAUUGCAUCUUAUUUGGAUCAAGUUUUCGUGAAGAACGAAUGGAGUUUGACUGCGGCCAACGCCUCCUCGACUCCCUCCACCGGAGCCUCCUCGGCCCGGCCUUAAAAUUAUGAUUCGAACUAUCUUUUGCAUAAAUUUGGAGCUAUGAUUCAGAGACAUGUUCGGUAUCGAAACUCAAAAUUGAUUGAUGGUUUUGAAGCUCGUUGUUUGAGUUAUCUAAUUGUGUUAUCGAUUUAACUACUGGACAUCCAACAACUGAGUAAUUUACUGGAUCCUGGAGUUUCCAGAUGGUCUUACCGCUUCUGUUUUCUGA